UGAGGAAUAUUGGUCAAUGGACGCAAGUCUGAACCAGCCAAGUAGCGUGCAGGAUGACGGCCCUAUGGGUUGUAAACUGCUUUUAUAUGGGGAUAAAGUGGGGAACGUGUUCCCUUUUGUAGGUACCAUAUGAAUAAGGACCGGCUAAUUCCGUGCCAGCAGCCGCGGUAAUACGGAAGGUUCGGGCGUUAUCCGGAUUUAUUGGGUUUAAAGGGAGCGUAGGCCGUUUGGUAAGCGUGUUGUGAAAUGUAGGAGCUCAACUUCUAGAUUGCAGCGCGAACUGUCAGACUGGAGUGAGCACAACGUAGGCGGAAUUCAUGGUGUAGCGGUGAAAUGCUUAGAUAUCAUGAAGAACUCAGAUUGCGAAGGCAGCUUACGGGAGCGCAACUGACGCUGAAGCUCGAAGGUGCGGGUAUCGAACAGG
rnacentral:rRNA from 1 species